GGCGGCGUGCCUAAUACAUGCAAGUAGAACGCUGUUUAGAGGAGCUUGCUCUUCUUGGAUGAGUUGCGAACGGGUGAGUAACGCGUAGGUAACCUGCCUUGUAGCGGGGGAUAACUAUUGGAAACGAUAGCUAAUACCGCAUAACAAUGGAUGACCCAUGUCAUUUAUUUGAAAGGGGCAAAUGCCCCACUACAAGAUGGACCUGCGUUGUAUUAGCUAGUAGGUGAGGUAGCGGCUCACCUAGGCGACGAUACAUAGCCGACCUGAGAGGGUGAUCGGCCACACUGGGACUGAGACACGGCCCAGACUCCUACGGGAGGCAGCAGUAGGGAAUCUUCGGCAAUGGGGGCAACCCUGACCGAGCAACGCCGCGUGAGUGAAGAAGGUUUUCGGAUCGUAAAGCUCUGUUGUAAGUCAAGAACGAGUGUGAGAGUGGAAAGUUCACACUGUGACGGUAGCUUACCAGAAAGGGACGGCUAACUACGUGCCAGCAGCCGCGGUAAUACGUAGGUCCCGAGCGUUGUCCGGAUUUAUUGGGCGUAAAGCGAGCGCAGGCGGUUUGAUAAGUCUGAAGUUAAAGGCUGUGGCUCAACCAUAGUUCGCUUUGGAAACUGUCAAACUUGAGUGCAAAAGGGGAGAGUGGAAUUCCAUGUGUAGCGGUGAAAUGCGUAAAUAUAUGGAGGAAACACCGGUGGCGAAAGCGGCUCUCUGGUCUGUAACUGACGCUGAGGCUCGAAAGCGUGGGGAGCGAACAGGAUUAGAUACCCUGGUAGUCCACGCCGUAAACGAUGAGUGCUAGGUGUUGGAUCCUUUCCGGGAUUCAGUGCCGCAGCUAACGCAUUAAGCACUCCGCCUGGGGAGUACGACCGCAGGGUUGAAACUCAAAGGAAUUGACGGGGGCCCGCACAAGCGGUGGAGCAUGUGGUUUAAUUCGAAGCAACGCGAAGAACCUUACCAGGUCUUGACAUCCCGAUGCUAUUUCUAGAGAUAGAAAGUUACUUCGGUACAUCGGUGACAGGUGGUGCAUGGUUGUCGUCAGCUCGUGUCGUGAGAUGUUGGGUUAAGUCCCGCAACGAGCGCAACCCCUAUUGUUAGUUGCCAUCAUUCAGUUGGGCACUCUAGCGAGACUGCCGGUAAUAAACCGGAGGAAGGUGGGGAUGACGUCAAAUCAUCAUGCCCCUUAUGACCUGGGCUACACACGUGCUACAAUGGUUGGUACAACGAGUUGCGAGUCGGUGACGGCAAGCUAAUCUCUUAAAGCCAAUCUCAGUUCGGAUUGUAGGCUGCAACUCGCCUACAUGAAGUCGGAAUCGCUAGUAAUCGCGGAUCAGCACGCCGCGGUGAAUACGUUCCCGGGCCUUGUACACACCGCCCGUCACACCACGAGAGUUUGUAACACCCGAAGUCGGUGAGGUAACCUUUUGGAGCCAGCCGCCUAAGGUGGGAUAGAUGAUUGG
rnacentral:rRNA from 1 species